CCUACGGGUGGCAGCAGUGGGGAAUAUUGGACAAUGGGCGCAAGCCUGAUCCAGCAAUGCCGCGUGUGUGAAGAAGGCCUUCGGGUUGUAAAGCACUUUAAGUUGGGAGGAAAAGCUAAGGGUUAAUAGCCUUUAGUGUUGACGUUACCAACAGAAUAAGCACCGGCUAACUCCGUGCCAGCAGCCGCGGUAAUACGGAGGGUGCAAGCGUUAAUCGGAAUUACUGGGCGUAAAGCGCGCGUAGGCGGUUAUUUAAGUCAGAUGUGAAAGCCCCGGGCUUAACCUGGGAAUGGCAUUUGAGACUGGAUGGCUAGAGUAUGGUAGAGGUGAGUGGAAUUUCAGGUGUAGCGGUGAAAUGCGUAGAGAUCUGAAGGAACAUCAGUGGCGAAGGCGACUCACUGGGCCAUUACUGACGCUGAGGUGCGAAAGCGUGGGUAGCAAACAGGAUUAGAUACCCGGGUAGUC
rnacentral:rRNA from 1 species